UGAGGAAUAUUGGGCAAUGCCCGCAAGGGUGACCCAGCAACGCCGCGUGGAGGAUGAAUGUCGUAAGAUUGUAAACUCCUGUUAGAGGGGAAGAAUAGUACCGGUUGGACCGGUAUAUGACUGUACCCUCAGAGAAAGCCCCGGCUAACUACGUGCCAGCAGCCGCGGUAAUACGUAGGGGGCAAGCGUUGUCCGGAUUUACUGGGUGUAAAGGGCGCGCAGGCGGGAUAAAAAGUCAGUGGUGAAAUCCUACAGCUUAACUGUAGAACUGCCUUUGAUACUUUUAGUCUUGAGUUCGGGAGAGAGAGACGGAAUUCCAGGUGUAGUGGUGAAAUACGUAGAUAUCCGGAGGAACACCAGUGGCGAAAGCGGCUUCCUGUACUGUAACUGACGCUCAGACGCGAAAGCUAGGGUAGCAAACG
rnacentral:rRNA from 1 species